rnacentral:rRNA from 1 species
UACGUAGGGUGCGAGCGUUAAUCGGAAUUACUGGGCGUAAAGCGUGCGCAGGCGGUUCGCCAAGUCAGGUGUGAAAUCCCCGGGCUUAACCUGGGAAUUGCGCUUGAAACUAGCGGGCUUGAGUGUGGCAGAGGGGGGUGGAAUUCCACGUGUAGCAGUGAAAUGCGUAGAGAUGUGGAGGAACACCGGUGGCGAAGGCGGCAUCCUGGACCGACACUGACGCUGAGGAGCGAAAGCCAGGGGAGCAAACGGG